rnacentral:rRNA from 1 species
UACGGAGGGUGCAAGCGUUAUCCGGAUUCACUGGGUUUAAAGGGAGCGCAGGCGGACAUGUAAGUCAGUGGUGAAAUCUUCGAGCUUAACUCGGAAACUGCCAUUGAUACUAUUUAUCUUGAAUACUUUGGAGGUAAGCGGAAUAUGUCAUGUAGCGGUGAAAUGCUUAGAUAUGACAUAGAACACCAAUUGCGAAGGCAGCUUACUACACAGUUAUUGACACUGAGGCACGAAAGCGUGGGGAUCAAACAGG